rnacentral:rRNA from 1 species
GAUGAACGCUGGCGGCGUGCCUAACACAUGCAAGUCGAGCGAUCUUCUUCGGAAGAGAGCGGCGGACGGGUGAGUAACGCGUGGGUAACCUGCCUCAUACACAUGGAUAACAUACCGAAAGGUAUGCUAAUACAAGAUGAUAUAAGAGAUUCGCAUGGAUUUCUUAUCAAAGCUCCGGCGGUAUGAGAUGGACCCGCGUCUGAUUAGCUAGUUGGUAAGGUAACGGCUUACCAAGGCGACGAUCAGUAGCCGACCUGAGAGGGUGAUCGGCCACAUUGGAACUGAGACACGGUCCAAACUCCUACGGGAGGCAG